GGUCACAAAACACACAGCUUCUGUAUUAGCAAAGAAGACUGCAACUCAUCUCUGUCUCUUAACGCUAAAGUUCUAAAAAGGGAUUUUUAGCAAAGAAGAUAACAGUAGAAACAUGUUGAAGAACUUUUAAAAGAUUGCAGUGCAAACAACAUCAAAUAAAAGCACUACAAAAAGGAGCAGUUUAAAGAAAGGAGAGCAGUGGAAGGGUGGCUGAAGUGAGCACAUACUGAAAUCAUGCCGGUGGCCCACGCAAGAAUGGAUGAAGACUCUUUCAUGCUGCAUUAUCUGAAGGUGUUGAAGGAACUUCUGGCCUUUAUCUUGUUCAGCUACACAGUUCUUCUUGGAGCUCUUUUUAUAGCUGGAUGGACAACUUAUUUCAUGGUUAUGAAAUGAGAGAAAUAUUUUGUAAUUUGAUUCAUUGUAAAGAAUUUUACUUGCCACAUAAAAAGCUUGCAAAAAACUACAAAAAUGCUUUACAAUAGAUAACUCAUCACUGUUGAAGUACAAUGCAUAAAUCUGAAACACUAAAACAGUGCAUUUCACAAUAAUUAAAAUGAGUGAAGUCCUGUUUUGGACAUGCAGGGAAGUAGAUUAGUAGUUUACUUUUAAGAUGUUUGUCUGGUAUCAUGCAGAAACAAAUGCAUCACUCACUUCACGCUGCUUCUUUGUUUAAUAAAUACUGCAUUAACAUGCAGUCUGGGUAUAUAAGUGUGAAAAACAGUAGAGAUAGAAUUUCCCUAGUGCACCCGUAAACACUUAGAAACUCUAAAUUAGUGCACGGUUUCAUUACAUGACAUCAAGUUUAAGAUGUGGCAUGGACAGGAUGAGGAGGUUACUUAUAACAUGUACAACCUUGCUGUUUUAUGAGAGACAGGAUUUUUACUGACUCCUUAUGCUCCUGGACCUUCCUAUUGAAUGGGGAUAGAAUUACCUCACCCACAAAUAAAGUAUUGUACUACAUAAGAAUAUUUUUAUUAAGAGAUAGCAAAUCCUGGCAGCAGUUUUGAACUCAGAACUUCUGCAACAGGCAUCAGGCUAAGCUUUGUGGUACAUAGAGCAGAAACAUAAUGAAACUCAGAACUGUGCUGGCCCCUUAAACAGUGUAGUAACUAGCUGAGCUUACCACACAGUUGCAACUACGUUAUUGUACCAAAGGUAGUCUAUAUCAUGGCGAUAACUUUAGAAAUGCAUUUGAAUAUGGCUGAUAUUCCAAUAGUGCAACUUAUUGCAGGUUAGAUAUAAAAAUUAUUUUAACAUAACUCAGACUUAAAACAAAACUGCAUCUUACAAAAAAGUCUCAGUGCAAUAAACAAAAGUCAGGAGAAGUAAAAACAGACAUGGUUCAUCUUCGUUUGGAUAUAUUCUGAUAAAAAGAUGCUGUACUUUUUAAAGCUCUUUGAACCCAUAGCUAAAAGAGAAUUACAUACAAAAAAAUCACUACAGAUCUUUUAAUCGGACAUGACUUGACCCGAAGCAGGAACAGUGAUUCUUAUGAAACUGAAUGAAGUGGAUUAAAGGAUUCCAGCAUAAAGAAAUAAACUGUAUCUUGCCUUAUAAAUAACAACAGUACAGAAUGUAUAAUUCUGAAUGCAACAAAAUGUGACAGACAAUGGUUUGCCAUCUUGACAUAGUGGUUGCUAACAGGCUUACUGAGAUAGCAGUAAAGGACAACAAAGAAGAGGGAUAUAAAGUAAUAUGCAGUGCUGGUGUUUUUGGGAGGUAAAACCACAUUGUCCUUUCUGAUCAUUUGUAAUUCAUACUACUGCUACAGCCAUUGUGGUUAUGAAACAUGUAAGCACACCUAAAACAAAUUACUUGACCACCCCUCUUUAGAGACAUGUGUUCUAGAUUACAUACAAGAGACAAAGAUAAAACAUAUGUGAAGAGCAACUAUAGCUGCUUCGGCAGAUUUUGAAAUGAGUGACUGUGUUAGGAAAAAAUAUAGAUUCAAUGCAUGGCCUGAUGUGCGGUGUCAUCAGAUAUUGCAUCACCUCUGUUAUGUGUAAUACUGUGUGAAGUAAUGAAAUCCCAUUGAACUCAUGAAUACUAAUCACAGGUCUGUAUGCUAGUGAGUCAUGUGUACAUAUUAAGUUCCUUUUAUGCUUGUAAGAUGUGUAUAUAUAACAUUGUUCUAUUUUCUGCAGGAAGUGCCUUUGUACCAAUGCUAAAUCUAUAGUGCUGAAAAUUUAAUUUAAAAGCAAACUAAUAAAUACAAUGAUGUUGGCAUAUUUCUUCCAA